rnacentral:rRNA from 1 species
UACGUAGGGGGCGAGCGUUGUCCGGAUUUAUUGGGCGUAAAGAGCGUGUAGGCGGCCAGGUAGGUCUGCUGUGAAAACUCGAGGCUCAACCUCGAUACGUCGGCGGAAACCAUCUGGCUAGAGUCCGGAAGAGGAGAGUGGAAUUCCUGGUGUAGCGGUGAAAUGCGCAGAUAUCAGGAAGAACACCCGUGGCGAAGGCGGCUCUCUGGGACGGUACUGACGCUGAGACGCGAAAGCGUGGGUAGCGAACAGG